rnacentral:rRNA from 1 species
CUCGAUCCUAAGACAUAGGGAAAUUCCUUGUAAUACAUUUGUACUUACGUACAUGUAGUCAAAAGGGAAUGAGGUUCAUAUUCCUCAAGCUGGAUGUGGGAGCUAUGUGGUAACACAAACAAGCUCGGAGACAUCGGUAUGUGCAACUGGAAGAGUUCUCUUUUCUUCUUAACAGUCUAUCUCCCUGAAAGGAUUAUCCAGAGCUAGGGAUAUACGGCUGGCAGAGCAGUUCUCCAUUGAAUUGUCAGUGAAGCUCAUAACGAUCCUUGAAAAUCCGAGUAAGAUUAUCUCAUCACACCAGGUCGUACCCAUAACCGCAUCAGGUCUCCAAGGUUAGCAGCCUCUGGUCGAUAGAAUAACGUGGAUAAGGGAAUUCGGCAUAUUAGAUCCGUAACUUCGGGAAAAGGAUUGGCUCUGAGGGUUGAGUGUGGUGCCAAGAAGAUGGAACUAGGAUCUGUUCUGGUGUUAGCCGCAAGGCUGAAACCGGCACGGAGAGAAGG